GAUGAAGAACGUAGCGAAAUGCGAUAAGUAAUGUGAAUUGCAGAAUUCAGUGAAUCAUCGAAUCUUUGAACGCACAUUGCGCCCUCUGGUAUUCCGGGGGGCAUGCCUGUUCGAGCGUCAUUAUAACCACUCAAGCUCUCGCUUGGUAUUGGGGUUCGCGGUUCCGCGGCCCCUAAAAUCAGUGGCGGUGCCUGUCGGCUCUACGCGUAGUAAUACUCCUCGCGAUUGAGUCCGGUAGGUCUGCUUGCCAGCAACCCCCAAUUUUUACAGGUUGACCUCGGAUCAGGUAGGGAUACCCGCUGAACUUAAGCAUAUCAAUAAGCGGAGGA
rnacentral:misc_RNA from 1 species